rnacentral:rRNA from 1 species
GACGAACGCUGGCGGCGUGCUUAACACAUGCAAGUCGAACGGUAAGGCCCCUUCGGGGGUACACGAGUGGCGCACGGGUGAGUAACACGUGGGUGAUCUGCCCUGCACUUCGGGAUAAGCCUGGGAAACUGGGUCUAAUACCGGAUAGGACCACGCUCUGCAUGGAGUGUGGUGGAAAGCUUUUGCGGUGUGGGAUGGGCCCGCGGCCUAUCAGCUUGUUGGUGGGGUGAUGGCCUACCAAGGCGACGACGGGUAGCCGGCCUGAGAGGGUGUCCGGCCACACGGGGACUGAGAUACGGCCCAGACUCCUACGGGAGGCAGCAGUGGGGAAUAUUGCACAAUGGGCGCAAGCCUGAUGCAGCGACGCCGCGUGGGUGAUGACGGCCUUCGGGUUGUAAACCUCUUUCAGUACCGACGAAGCGCAAGUGACGGUAGGUACAGAAGAAGCACCGGCCAACUACGUG